UACGAAGGGGGCUAGCGUUGUUCGGAAUUACUGGGCGUAAAGAGUGUGUAGGCGGUGCUCCCAGUCUGUUGUGAAAUCUCCCGGCUUAACUGGGAGGGUGCAGCGGAAACUAGAGUGCUAGAGGGUGGGAGAGGUAAGCGGAAUUCCUGGUGUAGCGGUGAAAUGCGUAGAUAUCAGGAGGAACACCUGUGGUGUAGACAGCUUACUGGACCACUUCUGACGCUGAGACACGAAAGCGUGGGUAGCAAACAGG
rnacentral:rRNA from 1 species